rnacentral:rRNA from 1 species
CACCAGUGGCGAAGGCGACUUUCUGGACGAAAACUGACGCUGAGGCGCGAAAGCCAGGGGAGCGAACGGGAUUAGAUACCCCGGUAGUCCUGGCCGUAAACGAUGGGUACUAGGUGUAGGAGGUAUCGACCCCUUCUGUGCCGGAGUUAACGCAAUAAGUACCCCGCCUGGGGAGUACGACCGCAAGGUUGAAACUCAAAGGAAUUGACGGGGGCCCGCACAAGCGGUGGAGUAUGUGGUUUAAUUCGACGCAACGCGAAGAACCUUACCAGGUCUUGACAUUGAUGGACAGAACCAGAGAUGGUUCCUCUUCUUCGGAAGCCAGAAAACAGGUGGUGCACGGUUGUCGUCAGCUCGUGUCGUGAGAUGUUGGGUUANNNNNNNNNNNNAGCGCAACCCCUAUCUUAUGUUGCCAGCACUUUGGGUGGGGACUCAUGAGAGACUGCCGCAGACAAUGCGGAGGAAGGCGGGGAUGACGUCAAAUCAUCAUGCCCCUUAUGACCUGGGCUACACACGUACUACAAUGGGAGUUAAUAGACGGAAGCGAGAUCGCGAGAUGGAGCAAACCCGAGAAACACUCUCUCAGUUCGGAUCGUAGGCUGCAACUCGCCUACGUGAAGUCGGAAUCGCUAGUAAUCGCAGGUCAGCAUACUGCGGUGAAUACGUUCCCGGGCCU